UUAAAAUUAUGGGUUAUUUUUUCAGAGAGUAACCAUUUUCUGGGUUAUAGGGCUAAUAUUUUGACCCAAUUCCUGGGUUGUUUGGGUUUCUGGGUUAUUUUUCAAAGGUUAACCCAUGUUCUGGGUUAACGCCCCGCCCCCCGCUGUUCUGGAAUUUUCUCACAACAGUCGAUUGAAAUAACUGUCACCGGAGUUCGCGGUGCGCUCGAUCCGUUUUGGCCUGGGCUUCUUCGUUGUGUAUUCAAGCUCCCGAGGUCGUGAAUCAGUUUAUCAUGUACACAGGUUCGGGCACUGGUCUUUUUAAAUGGACAGCUUUGUCACUGAUAAGUUAACUGAGUGGCGGCUGUUUGAGCUGACAGAGACAUUUUUGAGGCCAUCUACAGGGUUGAGAAGAAGACUAUCCGGCAUUCCACUGAAGAGUCCCUGACAGCGUUCAUACACCAAAUGUCUGUUGGAACAAAUAUGGUGGAAUACAGUGGCGGCUCGUAACUGCUCAUCCAAAGAUGCGCUAAUUCAAAAUAAGUGUUCAGAUUGUCACGUGUGUGGUUCCCUUUUCCAAAAUAUGUGUCCUGCGUUUCGAGAGAUCCUGUGUGCAUCACGUGUUUUGUCAAAAUAAGUGCCUGCUGCACACGCGUCAAAACCGUUUAUGAUAAAAGAGACGCUCAUGUUUCUAAAAUACACGCCAGACACUUCCUUAACAGUAAACUCCUAUUAUGCAUGAGAUUAUGCGAGUAUCUGGCAAACGCGAGCAUCCCUUUUAUCAUAAACCCUUUAGACGCGUCUGCAGCAGGAACAUAUUUUGACAUGACACGUGAUGCACACAGGAUCUCUCAAUGGGCAGAACACAUAUUUUAAAAUUACAAACCACACACAUUACAAGCUACAAACAUGUUGUGACGAACUUUGCAUCGAGCAUCCUCGAAUAAAGAAGUCACCGGCCGCCACUGGUGGAAUACCUUCAGCAAUCGAAGCCGUUCCCCUCUGGGAGAUCUCAAGCUGCACACAACCAAUGUUUAAAGACUUAAAGCCUCAAGUUCAAUCCAAUUAUUGAAUGUUGUCAAAUGUUUGAGAGAGAAUGUUUGAGAGUUGUUUAUUAUUCUAUUUUUUCUUUCUAAUGUUAUUACAGUGUGACCUAAAAUAAAUAGGUCCAAGUGUGCAUUUUUAUAUAGAAUUUAAUUGAAUCCAAUAAAAAUUUAAAACUGC